GUGGAUCAUGUGGUUUAAUUCGAAGCAACGCGAAGAACCUUACCUGGAUUUGACAUCUCCUGACAGUCCUAGAAAUAGGAUUUCUGUAGUAAUACAGCAGGAAGACAGGUGCUGCAUGGCUGUCGUCAGCUCGUGUGGUGACAUGUUGGGUUAAGUCCCGCAACGAGCGCAACCCCUGUCCUUAGUUGCCAGCAUUCAGUUGGGCACUCUAAGGAGACUGCCGUGGUGAACACGGAGGAAGGUGGGGAUGACGUCAAGUCCUCAUGGCCUUUAUAUCCAGGGCGACACACGUGAUACAAUGGACGGUACAAAGGGAAGCAAAGGGGAAACCUGGAGCCAAUCUCAAAAAGCCGUUCUCAGUUCGGAUUGGAGUCUGCAACUCGACUCCAUGAAGUUGGAAUCGCUAGUAAUCGCGGAUCAGCACGCCGCGGUGAAUACGUUCCCGGGCCUUGUACACACCGCCCGUCACACCAUGGGAGCUGACUCAACCAGAAGACGAUCAGGCUAACCGAAAGGAGGCCUUCG
rnacentral:rRNA from 1 species